rnacentral:rRNA from 1 species
GCAUAAGCGCACAGCUUCGCAUGAAGCAGUGUGAAAAACUCCGGUGGUAUACGAUGGAUCCGCGUCUGAUUAGCUGGUUGGCGGGGUAAAGGCCCACCAAGGCGACGAUCAGUAGCCGGCCUGAGAGGGUGAACGGCCACAUUGGGACUGAGACACGGCCCAAACUCCUACGGGAGGCAGCAGUGGGGAAUAUUGCACAAUGGGGGAAACCCUGAUGCAGCGACGCCGCGUGAGUGAAGAAGUAUUUCGGUAUGUAAAGCUCUAUCAGCAGGGAAGAAAAUGACGGUACCUGACUAAGAAGCCCCGGCUAACUACGUGCCAGCAGCCGCGGUAAUACGUAGGGGGCAAGCGUUAUCCGGAUUUACUGGGUGUAAAGGGAGCGUAGACGGCAGCGCAAGUCUGGAGUGAAAUCCCAUGGCUUAACCAUGGAACUGCUUUGGAAACUGUGCAGCUAGAGUGCAGGAGAGGUAAGCGGAAUUCCUAGUGUAGCGGUGAAAUGCGUAGAUAUUAGGAGGAACACCAGUGGCGAANGCGGCUUACUGGACUGUAACUGACGUUGAGGCUCGAAAGCGUGGGGAGCAAACAGGAUUAGAUACCCUGGUAGUCCACGCUGUAAACGAUGAUUACUAGGUGU